ACUGUCCAGAUAGACAUGUAACCACAUGAAAGCCUGUUGGAUGAUUUUGAGAAAGCACUGACGGCUUUCAGUGUUUUAAUUUGUUCAGUGUAGCAUUGAUUAAAAUAAAAGACACUGCUGGAAACAAGAGGGUUUUUUCCCUUUGAGUAAGAGAGAGACAGAAAAUUUCAGUACUUUCUGAAGCGGCUGACGCUGCUUUGUACUGUGCUAACAGCUUAAAGGAGGAAAAAGAAGACUAGUGUUGUUUCCUAUCAGAUUACAUGAUUUAUUAGAUUACAAGACUUAAAAAAAUCCCCUGCUGUGCCAGCAAGUGAGAGGUAAACUCCUACCCCAGAGGUAGUUAUGUUCCACUUCCUCAGACCCUCUCUGCACAAGUUGUUUACUGCAAAGAGGCGGCUGCUGCUCUUGUGUGGCAGGACGUUUCCUAGAGCCUGAGAGGGGUCUGGCAGCAGCCACUGGCACUCAAAUUUAAUUUCUGGGUUAUUUUUGCUCAGUGUUGCAAGGAGUAACUUGGCAUCCAUCAGACUCAGCCUGAAGUAAAACUCUUAGUGCAGGCAAGUAGUGAGACAAACUGUGAGAUAAAGGCUAUUGUUAGAAAUGAGAUUUUUUUCCUCUGUGAGAAACCCUAGGGCCAUGGAGUGGAUGAAGAACCCUCACGUGCCAAAGAAGGGCUGACAACAUUAUUUCAUUUGUCUAUGGGCUCUCUUUCACUGCUGAUGCCAGUGGAUUUACGGCAAUACUGUGCCAUCAAAAUGAGCAGAGUUCAGUCAAGCUGCUGAUUUGGCUGAAAAGUAACCUUGAAAGAAAAAAAUAAAGUUUUCAACUACUUCCUCUGA